GAAAGUUGGAUUUCCAAGAUGUUCUGCCAAGUAGGGCCAAGGUACUGGCUCCAACUCAAGACCACCAAGUGGCAGAUACAGAUACUGCUUCCUUGUCCUUGGAUGUCGUCCCCUACGGAGGUGAAUUCCUGGAUGCAGAAUUGCAACACUCUCCAGAGGAUGCCCCUGAGACACAUGAGGUGGUUCCCAGCUCCAGUCUGGAUGCAGAAGAGACCUUCUCAGUCUCAGAACAUUUGCCUUGCACUUCUUCUUCAAGCGUACACAUUUCUGUGGACCAGGAUGGUAAGUCACAUGCAAAGGUGACCUGAGCCAGGAGAGGAGGUGCAGCUGAGAGGGCUCCUGACCCUAGUCACUUCAUCUUUCCUUCACGUACAGCGAAGGGCCUCAGGGAAGAGGGACAAAGACAGACUCUUCUGGGGAGGGACAGAUAGGAAGUCUGCCUUCCAGAGGAGGGGCAAUUUCCUCAGCUCACAUUUCCACGUGAAUAGAGGCUGCUGUGGUGAAGCCAUGGCCCAUGUGGACGUGUGCAUAGGAUGGGAUCUGAGCCGGCCCCCUCAGAUCAGGGCAAACUCAGCUCACACUCACACGUCCCACUCUUUAUCCUAAGUACAGGUCCGUUUCUUAUCCUUUCUGUUUUCUGUCUCACGACUACCCCUUUCCUUCCCAUUGUCCCGGUUCCUUCCAGUGUUCAUAGUUACAGUCUUACACUGGCAUUCCUGAACACAUUCUCAGAUUCACCACUUUGCACCCUGAUCUCAUAAAUAAGGUCACAUCACCUCACAUGGUUACCUGUUCUAACUCCAUAAUGCUACUGGUAGACAAAACACUAGGAGACUCCUGUGCACAUUUGAUGUUUUUCUCACCCCAGUGCCACAUCCUCCACCAUGCCUUCAGCCUUUCACAGAGCUGCAUGUGCUGAGGACAUAAACAUUUCCUCUAACGUGUAAGGCUGCUGUUACACCAUCUACCAACACUCAGCACUCACACAACGGAUCACAUGUUGUGUAAUACAGUAUCAAACACACAGAUGCAUACUGAGUCUUAUCUGCUUUUGCCAGUACCCAAAAUAUUCAACAAAUGUAUAGUCGGAUAUAUAUAUAUGUAUUCAUAUAUAUUUAUGCAUAUUCAU
rnacentral:lncRNA from 1 species